rnacentral:rRNA from 1 species
GAUUCCCCUAGUAACGGCGAGUGAAGAGGGAAAAGCUCAAAUUUUGAAUCUGGUGUCUUUGACUCCCGAGUUGUAAUCUAGAGAAGUGUUUUCCGCGUCGGACCGUGCACAAGUUCCCUGGAACGGGGCGUCAUAGAGGGUGAGAAUCCCGUAUAUGGCAYGGACCGCCGAUGCUCUGUGAUACACUCUCAACGAGUCGAGUUGUUUGGGAAUGCAGCUCAAAAUGGGUGGUAAAUUCCAUCUAAAGCUAAAUAUUGGCGAGAGACCGAUAGCGAACAAGUACCGUGAGGGAAAGAUGAAAAGCACUUUGGAAAGAGAGUGAAACAGUACGUGAAAUUGUUGAAAGGGAAGCGUUUGAAGUCAGUCGUAUCUGGCGGGAUUCAGCCUGGCUUUUGCCUGGUGUACUUCCCGUCCGAUGGGUCAGCAUCAAUUUCGAUCGAGGGAAAAAGGCGUGGGGAAUGUGGCUGUCUUCGGGCAGUGUUAUAGCCCUGCGUUGUAUGCCUCGGUUGGGAUUGAGGAACGCAGCGCGCCUAUAGGCCAGGGGCUACCCGCCUCUUGACACGCGCUUAGGAUGCUGGCAUAAUGGCUUUAAGCGACCCGUCUUGAAACACGGAC